GUCUCAACACGGUGUGCUCGGCUUGAUAGACAGCUGCACUCGCACCUGAGCUGCCAAGGUGAGACACACGAGUGAAAAACACUCACCGGCGACUUGACGUCCUCUUCUCGGUCAUCACUGGAGCAGCUGAGGGCGGUAGUGUUUCACAGCUGUUCUGUUGCCCGCACCGCUAGAAACUUUGCCUGGGAAUUUGUCACUUGAAACAUUUCAGUCAUUGUUUCUGGUCGUGUGUGCAACGUGUAUCCAAGCCUGCAGGAAAACUGUGGAUUUUUGGUUGGUUGUUAAACUGAAGUUUUCAGGCUCGGAUGGAACUAUUGCCAAGUUUGUCGAAAUGAACUACUCUGACCAAAUAUUUAACUUGUUUUAACAUAAACGUGACAUAAGGCCGCACAGUAGCUAUGGUUGUGGUGUUGCCACAUGCAGACCGUGUGUGUGUGCGGGUGUCUAUGCGAGUAUGUGUGGUAUGCUGGUGAACCAGCUCAACUUAAUGAUGAUGAUGAUGGGUGUAACCCAUUCCCUCUACAGAGGUUUGAUUUACUGAGAAUGCUGUCAAUUAAAGAGAAUGAUCGGACAAGCCUUAGAA